UUCUUUGUUAAUUGUUAGCUGCUUUUAUCCAAUUCCAGACCAUUAUCAAACACUAUAGAAAUGUUUGAACAGUUGGAUUUCAAACAUUUUCGUAUUGUGAAGUGGUGCUUACCAUUGGUACAGCUCUAAGUAAAUGAACA
rfam:Loxodonta africana cont3.75130, whole genome shotgun sequence.